rnacentral:lncRNA from 1 species
GAAUUCGGGUAGCCCUUAGCAACCGCCGCGCCGUUGCUAAGGGCGUCCUUUGCUUCCGGCGCAAUGUAAACAAAAUGUCGGCGCGCCACGCCCCCCUCAGCCCCGCCCCACUAGCACGAGGGGGCGCGGCCCCGGUGAUGGUGGGCGUGGUCCCGGUAAUGAAGGCGUGGUGUCCAGCUAAUGAAGGGGCGUGGUCCCGCUCUGCAGGUCGGGCUGCGCUGCCAGGAGGGGACACCGCGCUGCCCCUCGGCCCAGGGCGGGCGGGCACCAGCCGGGGAGGCAGAGAGGAGGAGGAGGAGGAGGAGGAGGAGAUGGGGAGGAGGAGUCAGUGCCGCCGGGCCGGGCAGCGCUCCCGGCUCGGGCAGAGCAGGUGGAGGGGCCGCAGGACAUGGAGGGGCUGAGCCAGCG